UACGGAGGGUGCGAGCGUUAAUCGGAAUUACUGGGCGUAAAGCGCACGCAGGCGGUUUGUUAAGCUAGAUGUGAAAGCCCCGGGCUCAACCUGGGAUGGUCAUUUAGAACUGGCAGACUAGAGUCUUGGAGAGGGGAGUGGAAUUCCAGGUGUAGCGGUGAAAUGCGUAGAUGUCUGGAGGAACAUCAGUGGCGAAGGCGACUCCCUGGCCAAAGACUGACGCUCAUGUGCGAAAGUGUGGGUAGCGAACAGG
rnacentral:rRNA from 1 species